UUCUCCCACCGGAACCGGAGCCCUGCACACCCUGCAGAGCUCUACAGCUCCACUGGGCUGCACUGGGCAUACGUGGUGAAGGACAUAUUAGAUGGAGGAGCAAGGUGUCUGCACCAAGGAUCGAGCUCUGGACCAGAGCCCUAACGUGGGAAGUGUAGACCCUCCCGGGUCGCUAACUUUAGUGUGUGGGGUUACAGGGUCAAAUCAAAAUAGUCCGCGCUCAAUCUGGGCUGGGGAUUCUGUUGUGGCAGCAACCACCAGCUCCCCUCAAAAAACGUAACUCACUUCAACAGCGAUGAGAAGGGGCUGUUCAUUUUGCUUUCAGGAUCCUUCCCUGACCUUCGUAAAUACACGGAAAAAUGAGAAGGUUCUGGGACAGAAAAGGGUGGAAGGAUGGACUUGUCAGAAGGAGGGGCAGAAGCAGAAGCACAAUGGGACAGUGUGAAAGGAUGAAGAUUUUCAGCUGGGAUGCAUUCACCUUGCUCUGGGAGGCUCCUCUCCCUCCCUAAGUGCUUCUUUCUUAGAGCCUCCAGGGAGGAGGCGGCUUUCCCUUUCCACAUCCAAGGCAACCUGCAGACAACGCAGAGGUGUCCAGUUCUCUGUUAGACUGGGAGUUAGCGGGUUACCAGCAUCCUCUCCUUCUCACCUGCUCAUGUCUUCGGUGGAUUCUGGCUGCUUCAUUUCCCAAACAGAUGGCAAAGUGGCCCUCCUUCUGUCUCCACUGUCCUCCUUUCACUGUUCAGACACAGUCCUCAGUGAUCUGCCCCACCAGAGGGCUUAACUCUCCUGGCCAAAGUCUAGUCUCUUGAUCUGGAACUUUGAAUAUCCAGGUCCCACAUAGGUCUUCACUGUCUCCUACCCCACAGGAUCACCUAUCUCCAUAGCCCUGCCAGGCCCUUAGCGGCCACUCUGGCUGCUUCCAAGGCUGUAGCCUGCUUCUCCCAUGCUGACUUCUCUUCCUGGGCUCAACAGCAAAGGUUCCCUCAGCAGAGAAAACCCUAGGCUUUGAGCCAUGGUGCAUCUCAGUUUCCUCUGUUUAAUAUUUGUGCUCCCUGCUGUUGUGCCUGCUGCAUGUGGGCAGGAACUGCUUCUGUUUUGUUUGUUGCUCUGUGUACUUCCCACCCAUCAAUAAAUAGGUGUUGAGCCAGGUAUGGUGGCUCAUGCCUAUAAUCCCACCACUAGCGACUCGAGAACUUGAGAGGCCA